rnacentral:rRNA from 1 species
AUUGAACGCUGGCGGCAUGCUUUACACAUGCAAGUCGAACGGUAACAGGCCGCAAGGUGCUGACGAGUGGCGAACGGGUGAGUAAUGCAUCGGAACGUGCCCAGUCGUGGGGGAUAACUACUCGAAAGAGUAGCUAAUACCGCAUACGAUCUAUGGAUGAAAGCGGGGGACCGUAAGGCCUCGCGCGAUUGGAGCGGCCGAUGUCAGAUUAGGUAGUUGGUGGGGUAAAGGCUCACCAAGCCAACGAUCUGUAGCUGGUCUGGGAGGACGACCAGCCUCACUGGGACUGAGACACGGCCCAGACUCCUACGGGAGGCAGCAGUGGGGAAUUUUGGACAAUGGGCGCAAGCCUGAUCCAGCAAUGCCGCGUGCAGGAAGAAGGCCUUCGGGUUGUAAACUGCUUUUGUACGGAACGAAACGGCUCUGGUUAAUACCCGGGGCUAAUGACGGUACCGUAAGAAUAAGCACCGGCUAACUACGUG